GCCUGGGUGGCUCAGUUGGUUAAGCAUCUGACUUUGGCUCAGGUCAUGACCUCAUGGUUCAUGGGUUUGAGCCCCGUGUCGGGCU
rnacentral:tRNA from 1 species